GGGAAGGUGAUGAAGAGCAGGAAGACGUGCGGCACCACGUUGAGCGCGUCCACGAAGCAGCCGUUGUUGAGGACGCCCUGAUCCACCCGUUCUUGCAGGUCCACUUUCAGCCAUGCUGUCUCUCUCCGGUACUUUAGUCACGAUGCAGAGCUCCGCCCGCACGCAGGGCUCCAUUUGACCAUUGCCGACUCAUGUCUCAGUUUGUGUGAGCACAGGAUGUCCGCACCUCGAUGGAAUUGCCUAAUACCACGUUUCUCAGAGCAUGUCCCCAUUGUGGAUGUAACCUCUUUUGGAUCAGAGACCCUUGAAGAUCUGAUUGAAGCCUUGGAAUCCUUGUGGGGAUUUCCAGCCCUUCUCCACAUCCACUCAGAGGAACUGUAGGCCUGCGGUGGUCAGGAGCAGCCGCCUCACUUUACCACACGUCAUCCCUGCUGCCUUCCCAGCAUAACAGACGGCGUCCUCAAGCUGUGAGCCGAAGUCAACCCCGGCGUCCUUACGUAGCUCUUGUCAGAGCCUCCGUCACAGCAACAUGAGCAGUUACACCGCAGCCUCCUCGGUGCCCGCGCGCCCUCCCGGUGCCCUGCCUCCCCGCCUUCUCCCCUACCCAGGCUCUCAAAGCCUUCCUUCUUGCCUCACAAUCAAGGCCUGAUAGCAUUCAUGAAUCAUUCACCCCGAGGUGCCAAUAACUAAGAUAGCUACAGAUGAAUUUCAGAUGGUUCAGAUUCCAGGCACCUCGCGCUGAGGGACGCGGCCACGAUCUUUAUAGGUAAUGAGAGGUGGUAACUACUGCAGAAUCACAGAAUACUAGCUGUCCUCGGUUGUGAGGAGAAGUGUUCUGUCAACACUCCCAAACCCGAGGCAUUCCAGUGACGGGAACUCUACCCUAUAUAGCUCCGGAGAGGCAAGAGCGCAGCGCAGGCCUGGCCUGGAGUCACUGUCCAGACGUGGUUCCCUCUCCUCAGCUGGCUUGGAACUGCUUCCCGAGCAAGCUGAGUGCUAGAUAAGGAAAUGCAGGGACACUUCCAGUGGCCGCUGUCUCUGGGAGCGGUUAGAAGAAGGUCACUGUGGCCUGGCCUCUGCUGAGAUGAAAAGCCUGCCACCACCAGCCACAGCGAAACCACCUCAGCGGGUGGGUCAAACGGGACAAAGCCAGUGGCGGAGCUAACGAGGAAAGGUCCACUCAAGCGUUAGGUGACCGAUUCCAACUCCCAGGGGCCAGCUGAGCUCGGAGGAAGCUGCUGAGAGAGCGGAGCUGACUGAGAUGAAGCUCUGAGCUAGGCGAGCGGGUCCUGCAGAGCAGCCUGGAUCAGAACCCCUCUUACUGUGAACUCUUGGGAGUGGCAUGUCUCUGCAUCUUGGGUUGCCCUGAGAUGCCAUUCUGACUCUAUCCCACGGCCCCUGGUCAUUCUGUGUGCACAGACCCUUGCCCUGCUGAUAGCCUCCUGCAUCGUCCAUGAAGUUCUAUUGGGCUUCAUUUUGCACAUCUCUCCUUCCUGCCCUCCUUUGGUGUCAUCAGGAGAAGUAGUGGUGGCCCAUGAGACCAUUUGGGGUACCUGCACCUUGAGGGAAACAGAGCAAUCAGUCCCUGCCCCAUGACUUCAUUCCUGGCCUCUCUGCUAAGGACACAUGGAAGCCCAGCCUGGGCGCUCCUGCCUCAGUUUUGACUCCAAGUGAGCUCAGAUUCGCCACAAUACUGUCCAUACCAAGGCUCUGGGAUCUAUUUCCCACCCUUGAGUGGUACCCAAACCUUCUGGAUUUUAUUUGACAGCCUCAAAUCCACUGCUCUAUCCAUAUGCAUGCCCACAUGCUGGGAAAGGAACUGAUCUAUUUUAUUAAGAAGUUCAGAGUAAGGUUUGCAGCAGCAAUUGCCACUAGGAGAGAGGGGAGUGAAGAGACUCGGGAGCUGGUGCCCUUAGGGCUAAGGAAGGAGUGCCCGGAGCUGCAAGAGGCCAAGGCUGUAAGGCCAGAGGAAACGAGCCCAGACCUCGGGUCCUUCUCCAGAGCACCUGCACCUCGGGCAGGCCUUCAGAAGAGGGGCUCGGGUGCUUCUCAGCAGCCCUGGCUCAGGGACGCAGGGGUCUGCAGCUCCAUGGAUGCUUCAGGGCGCCCGACGACCGACCUCUCUCCAAGUGGGUUGCAGGCUGGGUCCAGAGGUCGUUCCUCCCGUGUGGAACUUAGUUUCUCUCUGUGUAUUUCAGAAGAAGGUCCUGCAGGGGAGGGAAGCACACCAGGUAGGCGGACAUUGUGAGUGACCCUGGCCCAGGGCCAGGCCCACCCCCGUACCACAAAGUCCUGCCAGCCUCCAGAGCCCCUCUUGGUCCAGCUCGGAGAAGUGACACUCCAGCCACAGCACACAGGAGAAGGGGAAAGCGACAGGGGCAUGUGGUGGGGAGGAAGAGAUUCAGGAGUCCCCUGUCAAGAACAAGUGACAGAAAGUAUAGAGCGACUCCAGAAGCCACGGCCCAGCAGGCCCACUGUCUUGAGAACACGAGGCCCUAAUGUCUUAAGGAACUUAGAGCAGAGCAGCCAACAGCAGUCCUGGCCUGGGGCUGCCCUGGCUGUGGGCUUUAGGCCACAUCCAUUCUGUUUCAUAGCCACCAAGCACAGGAUGGGAAACACACUCCAAUCUGGGCUUCAUGAGGGUGUCCCCCAGUCAGCCUGGAUCAGGGUGGGGAGAGAACAGUGGAUGAUGUGAGAUGAGCAGAGCUCAACCACUACAGGGCACAACAGGCCAUGAGCUAACGGGAUCCGCCAACCCUGCUUCUUUGGACCAGCUUUAUGACCUCAAAGCUCAUUCAGCUGGACAUCUGUGGCUCUCCCAGCCAGGCCCGUCAGGCUGAAGGUCUCUUCUGUGUCUGUAGAACACCGUGUGUGAUGCCACCUGCUCAACUGGGCAGCGCAUGCACCCUAACACAGGUCCCGAGGGCUGUGGGCACCAGGCCUCCCAGGUCUCAGGUUAGGUCCCUCGCCAGACUCAGAGCAUUUCCUCAAGUUCCACAGUGACUCAGCCACUGACAGCAGCCUGGAUGGGCACCUAGGCAUGCUGCCCCUGCCCCCCACCAGACACCAGUCCAAAGAACCUGCUGGCAUCACCAGCACAUGGCAUGAAGCACAGGCGGACGGGCCCUGCGGCCGCCUGCCUAAUCACCGUGGGCUCCAGCUGCAGGAGGAACCCGUGUCUGUACACGGGGUCACCAGCUUCAAGCCGCUUUCGGACCGGCUGGGGGCUUUCGGCUGCAGAGGAGGAAGAGCUACAUGCGCAGGACAGAGCAGGGGACAAGAAGAAGUUCUGUUACUGCGUGUGGCUCCUGCCCCAGCCCCGAGCUCCAGAAGCAGGAGCUGCUGGUUCCGAGUUCACCAAGGCGUGCAGACUUCGGGGUGUGCUGGGCAGGGGCAUCUAUGGGAGGAUGGGUCAGCAGGGCGGCUAGCGGGAUGAGGGAUGAGGAUGAGGGCUAGGGAGGAGACAUGACACGCGAUGGAGGUGAGAUGCUGCGGAGAGAAUGACAGAGGAAAACAUGCAUGAAGAAUAUCGAGAUGAGAAGCAGAGACUCAGAGCUAGAGAUAAAAACAGGAAGCAAGAAAAGGAGAGAGAGAUGGAUGAGGGGGGAGAAGGAAAAGGGGGAUAACGGGAAGGAUGGGGAAGAGGGAGAGAGACGAGGAGAAGGGCACAGAGAGACCCACCCAGAUACGGACACGAGGAAAUAGAGCCACAUCCUGGUGAGGCUCCUGGAGAGCCCAUAGCUAGCGUGCUUCCUGGAGUCUGUGGUCUUGGCGGCCUAGACACGCAGCCAGAGUGAGUGCAGUGAAUGCACAUGUCAGGCCAAUCUUCCAGGAGGUGAAGAUGGACACAGAAACUGAUAUCUGAUAAUGGUACAUGGGAUAAGGUUCUGAGUGGGGCAUCAAAAGUUCUGAAUCUGGGCUGGAGAGAUGGCUUAGUGGGUAAGGUGUUUGU